rnacentral:misc_RNA from 1 species
GUGAAUCAUCGAAUCUUUGAACGCAAAUCGCACUCUCCGGUUUUCCGGGAGAGUAUGCCUUUUGGAGGUCCAGCCUAAAAUAAUCGACAUUGUUGCUGUUUUAUGUUGACUUUCGUCGGAGAUGGGAUAUCUUAAAUCUCGGUUUAAGCGACUUAAAAGUUUGUUUUUACGAUUCUAAGACUGUUUCUAAGAUUUUUCUUGUACGUUUAAGGCAUCGAGUGUCUUAUUAGGCGUGUCCGUCAUAUCGGUUCGUGUCCAUAAUUUUUUUCGAUAAC